rnacentral:lncRNA from 1 species
UGGAAGACUUAAAGAUCAAGCUACACACCAAUUUUGAGAUAAAGUUAACGGUUGGAAAGGGAGAAAUCAUUGUUGGAAUCUUUGCUUUACUUUUUAAGUUGGCGGCCGAGUGACAUUAGUGCAAUUUUUGGAGGUUUUCUCACAAUCUGUAAUUUGGAUUAGACUAAAAAUUCUUGAGCAUUUAGAAGACUUGCAUUGACAAUUGCAUGCAAAAUUCCACAUCAAGUGGACGGUUAGAUUGGACGUUACAGCUUGUUAAAGCUCACUAAUUAGGAUUGGAGUUGAUAAGAAAAAUCUAAAUUGCUUAA